rnacentral:rRNA from 1 species
UACGGAGGGUGCAAGCGUUAUCCGGAUUCACUGGGCUUAAAGGGUGCGUAGGCGGGCAGGCAAGUCAGUGGUGAAAUCUCCGGGCUUAACUCGGAAACUGCCGUUGAUACUAUCUGUCUUGAAUAUCGUGGAGGUUAGCGGAAUAUGUCAUGUAGCGGUGAAAUGCUUAGAUAUGGCAUAGAACACCCAUUGCGAAGGCAGCUAACUACACGAUCAUUGACACUGAGGCACGAAAGCGUGGGGAGCAAACAGG